GAAAUAUGGAGCUUAGGGUCGCGGAUUGGAGUAAACCACAAAGAGACAGGAUUAAAAUAAAUUUUGAUGGAGCUUUAAAUAUUCUAGAGGCAAAAAGAGGUAUUGGGGUGGUCAUGCAAGAUAAGCAUUGAAAUGUUCGUGGAGGUUUUAAUAAGAUCAUUCUAAAAGGAGAUGCUUUAGAUGUCAUACAACAUAUCAAUCAAUAUGAGGAAAACAUGUCAAGGAUGGUUAUCUGGUUGAAGAAGUGAA
rnacentral:lncRNA from 1 species